rnacentral:rRNA from 1 species
AUUGAACGCUGGCGGCAUGCCUUACACAUGCAAGUCGAACGGAGCGGCGGACGGGUGAGUAAUGUAUAGGAACGUGCCUAGUAGCGGGGGAUAACUUCGCGAAACGGGCGCUAAUACCGCAUACUAUCAGAUCAGCCGCGGUCGGAUUAGCUAGUUGGUGGGGUAAAGGCCUACCAAGGCGACGAUCCGUAACUGGUUGGAGAGGAAGAUCAGCCACACUGGAACGGGGACACGGCCAAGACUCCUACGGGAGGAAGCAGUGGGGAACUUUGGACAAUGGGGGAAACCCUGAUCCGGCCAGCCCGGGUGGGUGAGGAAGGUCUUCGGGUUGUAAAGCACUUUGAGCGGGGAGGCGUUACUAACAGAAUAAGCACCGGCUAACUCCGUGCCAGCAGCCGCGGUAAUUC